GGGCGGCUUGCUCCCCUGGCAGCCGGCAAGGCCAGCGGAUGAUGCAACAAAAGGCAAGCCCGGGCAAGGCCGAGCCGGGGCCGUGCCGGCCAAAGAUGCUGAUGCGAUACACUGGGGUGGGGGUGGGGCGGGAAUAGCCGGAGUGCUUCGGAGCUGCAGGCGUUUGGGGGACCCGACUGCCCUCGGGGGCAAAGCUGGCCUGCUCACUAAGCCUUGAGCUCUCACCCCACCUGCCCCUUCAGCCUUUCCCCCCAUCCCCACUUAGUGACAGACACUAUUCCCAGUUCUCUGCUUCUCAACUGAGAUGGAAGUUCUGCAGAGAACUUCUAGAGCUUGGAAGCAGAGAUCCUGAUGCCCUCGGGCAUGGUGGAGCUGCGGGAUGGAACGGGCCUGAGUCCGUGAACCAUCAUCACGCCUGGAGGUCAGCUCCUUGCCAACCAGAGCACCUCAGCCGGAUUCAUUAUGUGAGCGAGACAUAAACUAUUGGCUUGUCACUGGAA